rnacentral:tRNA from 1 species
GGGGGCAUAGCUCAGCUGGGAGAGCGCUUGAAUGGCAUUCAAGAGGUCAGGGGUUCGAUCCCCCUUGUCUCCA